GGAAAGGGAUAUGGUUUAUUGGCCCGAGAAAGUGUCCACAGCGAGCGCAGGCUGCAGCACGAUGUCCUCAGCGCAGCUCCCUCGGGCCUGGAGCUGGCAGCGGGGCGCUAGUCCUCCACUUGCGGGUUCAUGCAGGAGCAGCGGAAAGCCCUGCGCAGAGCCUUCAGCACCCUUCUGAAGUGGGGUGGUCGUCGCCAUUGGACUGCUCCUGCGCCUGGGAGGGCAGCGAUGGACAUACCUGGCUCAUCCUCGGUGUCGUGAACAGCUGCAGGAGACACUGCCAGUUCAUCCUUCUGUAAUGGCGCAGAGGUGGUGGCUGUGCUGGCCUCUCCCUGUUGUUUUUUAGGUGCUCUCCUCACUUUGCGCCUGAAUGAGACCUGCAGAGCUCUGUCAAUAACCGUAUACCACCUUGGGGCAGAUGCCUGUGCUGCUGUCUGCUGCUUGUCCAUGCUGGACUCUUCCUGCGGCUCAACAGACACAGGAGACUCCAUGUCACGAACUGCUAAAGACCUCAUUGGUGCCAUUGACACAUCCAUGCUUUGGGCCACGUCCUCCUGUUCCAGAAGCUGCUCAUCCGUUUCCUGGAUGACAGCCAAAGCCUUCCUUGCACACGAUGCCACUCACAAAGCGCCUGGCUAUUUCAUGCCAAACCAGCUCAGAGGCUGUGGGGCUGAGCAGAGCAAAUGCCUUCCUCCGGGCCUCUGCUUCUGCCUCCUGCUCAUCAAACACGUGGGAAGAUGGAGCCAGAAAUAGCCUGGCACUUCGUGAGUGGCAUCGUGCGCAAGGCUAUGGCUGUAAUCCAGGAAAUGGAUGGGCAGCCUCAGGAACACCAGGACAAUGCCCAAAGCAUGGAUGUGUCAAUGGCAGCAAUGAGGCCUGCAGCAGUUGAGGACAUUGAGUCUCCUGUGGCUGCAGGACCUCAGGCAGAGGCCUCAUGGACAAGCAGCAGACACCAGCACAGCCACCUGCCCUAAGGUGGCGCACGCUUAUUGACAGGGCUCUGCAGGUCUCAUUCACGCGCAGUGUGAGGAGAGCAUCCGAAAAGCAUCAGGGAGAGGCCAGCACAGCCACUGCCUCCCCGCCAUUACACAAGAAUGAACUGGCAGUGUCACCUGCAGCCAUUCAGGACACCCAGGAUGAGCCAGGCAUCGCUGCCCUCCCGGACACAGGAGCAGUCCAACGGCGACGACCACCCCACUUCAGAAGGGUGCUGAAGGCUCUGCGCAGGGCUUUCCGCUGCUCCUGCAUCAACCCGCAAGUGGAGGACUAGCGCCCCGCUGCCAGCUCCAGGCCCGAGGGAGCUGCGCUGAGGACAUCGUGCUGCAGCCUGCGCUCGCUGUGGACACUUUCUCGGGCCAAUAAACCAUAUCACUUUUCCCCCA
rnacentral:lncRNA from 1 species